rnacentral:rRNA from 1 species
GAUGAACGCUAGCGGCAGGCUUAACACAUGCAAGUCGAGGGGUAGAGUUCUUCGGAACUUGAGACCGGCGCACGGGUGCGUAACGCGUAUGCAAUCUACCUUUUACAGAGGGAUAGCCCAGAGAAAUUUGGAUUAAUACCUCAUAGUAUAAUGACUCGGCAUCGGGAUAUUAUUAAAGUCACAACGGUAAAAGAUGAGCA